rnacentral:sRNA from 1 species
UUUAUUAGCCGUGGAGCAGUAUUCUAGUUUGAAUUGCGUCAUGAAGACGGGCCUAAAAAUCCGUUAAAGAGCAUACCUGUGAAACGUCUUGUGCCUGCUUUUUUCGCCCAGAUUAGGGUGGGUGCUGGAUAUGAUGUUUGCUGGGCUAGCUGUAAUGGCAUACAGAUUCUUUGACCCAUCAAUACGUGGAGACUCAAACUUGUGCAUUUGUACGACUUGAGAUUAAACCUACUUUGUGGCUAACGCUAUGGGUAGUGUAGCUUGCCUUGAGUGAAGGUAUCGGGAUAAUAGAUCAGACUUUUUUUCUAGGCAUAGAAAAAUUGUUAUCGCUAUUUGAAAUUGCCUUUGCAAAAAAGAGCUAAUGAUGUGAAUUCAUUUGAAGAAAUUUCCUAGACUGUGACUUUUAUAAAAUUGCAGUGCGUACUAAGUGGCAAUCAAGUAAUGCUAACUGGUAACAGAGCAUGUUUUCUCUUAAUUGGGAACUGCCGGAUGGUAACAGAAGGUGAGAAAACGGGAAAUCCGACUUGACCUAAGACGCAAAGUUUGUUAUAAAAGAUUCCACUCGGUUUG